GACGAACGCUGGCGGCGUGCUUCAUAAAUGCAAGUCGAGCGGGGUCCAUCCAGUGGCAACACUGGUGAAGACCUAGCGGCGAACGGGUGAGUAACACGUGAGGAACCUGCCCCAGAGACCGGGAUAACCCUCCGAAAGGAGAGCUAAUACCGGAUGCCCCCACCGGAUCGCAUGGUCUGGUGAGGAAAUGGACUCCGCUCUGGGAGGGCCUCGCGGCCUAUCAGCUUGUUGGUGAGGUAACGGCUCACCAAGGCGUCGACGGGUAGCUGGUCUGAGAGGACGGUCAGCCACACUGGGACUGAGACACGGCCCAGACUCCUACGGGAGGCAGCAGUAGGGAAUCUUGCGCAAUGGGCGAAAGCCUGACGCAGCAACGCCGCGUGGGGGAUGAAGGCUCUCGGGUUGUAAACCCCUUUCAGCAGGGACGAUUAUGACGGUACCUGCAGAAGAAGGACCGGCCAACUACGUGCCAGCCGCCGCGGUAA
rnacentral:rRNA from 1 species